AGAAAAUAUUUUUUAUAGAGGACUGGCAGUAAUUCUUCGGCAUUCGGAUAUCGUACUACAAAAAUAUAAUCCAAAAAGUUAAAAGAAAAAAAUCACUCUUGACAAAGAACUUAUACUAUCCCAGAUUGAUGUGUUGAAAAUUUGAAUAAUUUGGAUAAAUUUCUUCGAUUAGGCACAACGUUUGUAAUCCACUAAACCGAAAGCAUCGAGGGUAUCCAUGCCAUGCUCACCGAAUAAUUAGAAGCAAAAGCGAGAUUCGAGAAAGUCGAAGGAUGGAGAGAUGCAGAAAUGACUGAGGAGAGAAAAGACAGAGAAAGGGAGGGCGCAUUACAAAUGUUGGUAAUCUAGUUGCGAACGUAGCUCGGGGUUGGAGCCUGGAGCAACCAUGCGGAAUAAUGAUAUGUAAUCUCAAAACAACCUGCGGCCUCGCCAAGGCACACGCGAGCGGACGCGUGCGUGCACACGCGUGUUGUUACACGUUACCUGCUCGCGUGUUACUAUCCCAGAAGCUGUUGCGGAAUAGGCGGAAGCGCUCGUGACCGCGGUAAAUGACACGAGCAAACGAAUCGACUGAAACGCAUGCCCCUCUUCUCUCAACACCCACACCACCAGUAUCUCUCGUUCAUCACCCUAACUUUCGCCGUUGUUACUCGCAGUUUGGAUGUAUACAACGAACCGCUUCCACUCUACCGAUACCACCGCUAAUUAUAGUUUAAUAAUGAUCCGGUCGCGCGUUAGUCCGCCAACAGCAUUCUCGCCGACGAAUUAAAAAUUAUAUUGGAAAAGGUUGGUUCGAGUUUGGGAGAGCGAUGAUUGGCGAGACGGUAUGUGAAUGUUUUGAGAGAUAAUCUGUUGCAGUCUGAAGUUUUUUUUUUGAUUAGUGAAAUGUGAAUAAUUGGAUGUGGAUUUUUCAAGAGAUGAACAAUAAUUUGUUGUAUGCAGAAUACAGUAUUUUGAUGAUGGGAUAAUUUGUUGCAGAAAAUAUAGAUUUUUGAUUGGUAAUAAAUUGUUGAAAGAUAAAUUUAUAAACAUGCAAUAGAUCCGCAGAUAUGAUUGUUGUGUGUUUG